rnacentral:rRNA from 1 species
GAUGAACGCUGGCGGCGUGCCUAAUACAUGCAAGUCGAGCGAACAGACGAGGAGCUUGCUCCUCUGACGUUAGCGGCGGACGGGUGAGUAACACGUGGAUAACCUACCUAUAAGACUGGGAUAACUUCGGGAAACCGGAGCUAAUACCGGAUAAUAUAUUGAACCGCAUGGAUCAAUAGUGAAAGACGGUUUUGCUGUCACUUAUAGAUGGAUCCGCGCCGCAUUAGCUAGUUGGUAAGGUAACGGCUUACCAAGGCAACGAUGCGUAGCCGACCUGAGAGGGUGAUCGGCCACACUGGAACUGAGACACAGUCCAGACUCCUACGGGAGGCAGCAGUAGGGAAUCUUCCGCAAUGGGCGAAAGCCUGACGGAGCAACGCCGCGUGAGUGAUGAAGGUCUUCGGAUCGUAAAACUCUGUUAUUAGGGAAGAACAAAUGUGUAAGUAACUAUGCACGUCUUGACGGUACCUAAUCAGAAAGCCACGGCUAACUACGUG